rnacentral:rRNA from 1 species
UACGUAGGGGGCAAGCGUUGUCCGGAAUCAUUGGGCGUAAAGAGCGUGUAGGCGGUCCGGUAAGUCGGCUGUGAAAGUCCAGGGCUCAACCCUGGGAUGCCGGUCGAUACUGCCGGACUAGAGUUCGGAAGAGGCGAGUGGAAUUCCCGGUGUAGCGGUGAAAUGCGCAGAUAUCGGGAGGAACACCUGUGGCGAAGGCGACCCCCUGGUUGGAUACUGACGCUGAGACGCGAAAGCGUGGGGAGGCAAACAGG